CUCAAAUCAGGUAGGACUACCCGCUGAACUUAAGCAUAUCAAUAAGCGGAGGAAAAGAAACUAACAAGGAUUCCCCUAGUAACUGCGAGUGAAGCGGGAAGAGCUCAAAUUUAAAAUCUGGCG
rnacentral:rRNA from 1 species